AUGAAUGGAAAAGUUGUGAAUGACAAAUUGACUGUGAACGGCAGGUGGCCAGAUGCAGUUCUGCUUAUUAAACCUGCAGAUGUGCUUCUACUGUUUGAUGAAGUGUCAGAGCCAUGGCGCUGUAACUCCUUCAGUGAGGAUCUUCUUAAGCCUUGUAACAACUUCACAACNGUGGUGAGAAAGUUGCAGAAUGAUAAGCCCGGAAAUCACUGUGGAAUAUACAAUGGGCUCCACCAUUAUUCAUUUGUCAUGCCUGACUGAAAGGUUCUCUCUGUCUUGAUGUGACCUCUUCACAUGGAAACAACCCAAAAUAAAAGAAAGAAAAGAGGAACA
rnacentral:lncRNA from 1 species